rnacentral:rRNA from 1 species
AACGAACGCUGGCGGCAUGCCUAACACAUGCAAGUCGAAGGAGACUUUCGGGUCUGGUGGCGACCGGGUGCGAAACGCGGGGGAACCUGCCCUUAGGUCGGGAUUAACUCCCCGAAAGGGGGGCUAAUACCGGAUAAUGUUUCCGGACCAAAGAUUUAUCGCCUUUGGAUGGGCCCGCGUUGGAUUAGCUAGUUGGUAGGGUAAAAGCCUACCAAGGCGACGAUCCAUAGCUGGUCUGAGAGGAUGAUCAGCCACACUGGGACUGAGACACGGCCCAGACUCCUACGGGAGGCAGCAGUGGGGAAUAUUGGACAAUGGGCGAAAGCCUGAUCCAGCAAUGCCGCGUGAGUGAUGAAGGCCUUAGGGUUGUAAAGCUCUUUUACCCGGGAUGAUAAUGACAGUACCGGGAGAAUAAGCUCCGGCUAACUCCGUG